rnacentral:rRNA from 1 species
AUGAACGCUGGCGGCGUGCCUAAUUCAUGCAAGUCGAGCGAACAGACGAGGAGCUUGCUCCUCUGACGUUAGCGGCGGACGGGUGAGUAACACGUGGAUAACCUACCUAUAAGACUGGGAUAACUUCGGGAAACCGGAGCUAAUACCGGAUAAUAUAUUGAACCGCAUGGUUCAAUAGUGAAAGACGGUUUUGCUGUCACUUAUAGAUGGAUCCGCGCCGCAUUAGCUAGUUGGUAAGGUAACGGCUUACCAAGGCAACGAUGCGUAGCCGACCUGAGAGGGUGAUCGGCCACACUGGAACUGGGACACGGUCCAGACUCCUACGGGAGGCAGCAGUAGGGAAUCUUCCGCAAUGGGCGAAAGCCUGACGGAGCAACGCCGCGUGAGUGAUGAAGGUCUUCGGAUCGUAAAACUCUGUUAUUAGGGAAGAACAAAUGUGUAAGUAACUAUGCACGUCUUGACGGUACCUAAUCAGAAAGCCACGGCUAACUACGUG